rnacentral:rRNA from 1 species
AGCAGCCGCGGUAAUUCCAGCUCCAAUAGCGUAUAUUAAAGUUGUUGCAGUUAAAAGCUUGUAGUUGAAUUUCGGGAUCAAUUAAUCGGUCGUACUUAUGGUACGUACUGAUUUUAUUGGUUUCUCCCUUCUGACGAACCAUGAUGUCAUUAAUUUGGUGUCGUGGAGAAUCAGGACUGUUACUUUGAAAAAUUAGAGUGUUUAAAGCUGAAUACAUUAGCAUGGAAUAAUGAAAUAGGGCGUUUGAUCCUAUUUUGUUGGUUUCUAGGAUCGACGUAAUGAUUAAUAGGGAUAGGUUGGGGGCAUUAGUAUUCAAUUGUCAGAGGUGAAAUUCUUGGAUUUAUUGAAGA